GGGAAUUGCCGGGGCGCAUGGGUGAGUAACGCGUAGAUAAUCUACCCUUCAGUCUGGGACAACUCUUGGAAACGGGAGCUAAUACCGGAUAAAACCUUCGGGUUGAAAGAUUUAUCGCUGGGGGAUGAGUCUGCGUACCAUUAGCUUGUUGGUGGGGUAACGGCCUACCAAGGCGACGAUGGUUAGCGGGUCUGAGAGGACGAUCCGCCACACUGGAACUGAGACACGGUCCAGACUMCUACGGGAGGCAGCAGUAGGGAAUAUUGCGCAAUGGGGGCAACCCUGACGCAGCAAUGCCGCGUGAGUGAAGAAGGCCUUCGGGUCGUAAAGCUCUUUUAUGGGGGAAGAUGAUGACGGUACCCCAUGAAUAAGCACCGGCUAACUACGUGCCAGCAGCCGCGGUAAUACGUAGGGUGCGAGCGUUGUUCGGAAUUACUGGGCGUAAAGGGCGUGCAGGCGGAUUGGCAAGCCGGAGGUGAAAGCCCGGGGCUCAACCCCGGAGGGUCUUUCGGAACUGCCAGUCUUGAGAGGGUCAGGGGCCAGCGGAAUUCCUGGUGUAGAGGUGAAAUUCGUAGAGAUCAGGAGGAACACCGGCGGCGAAAGCGGCUGGCUGGGGCCACUCUGACGCUGAGGCGCGAAAGCGUGGGGAGCAAACAGGAUUAGAUACCCUGGUAGUCCACGCCGUAAACGAUGGGCACUAAGCGUCCGACGGGUUCGACCCUGUUGGGUGCUGCAGUUAACGCGUUAAGUGCCCCGCCUGGGGAGUACGGUCGCAAGACUAAAACUC
rnacentral:rRNA from 1 species